GAGGUUCCACUCCAAGUAAUAAAUUUUGUGUGCGAUCGCGUUCUUUAUGAUUGUGCUACUCUUUUUGAUUUUUUUUUUUUUUUUUAAGUUUAGCAUGAAGUGCAAAACCACUUGUUCAUGUGUAUAAGGCCUUCGAUUAUUGCCAGCUUUCUAGUGCUUUUGGAGGUUUUUGGAGGUUUAGGAUGCGCAUGAUAAAAUUUCUGGAAUAUAAAUCAAUUUUUAUUCUAUUGACAAGUUUGAGCCAAGAAACGUAUUUGAUAACGAUUCAAAAUUUCUAUUUCUGAAAUAAAAAUUCAUUUGAUAACAGAAUAAAAUUUCUAUUUUUAGGAGCAGUAACGACUAGAGGCCGGUUGCUAGAGUUUGACGUCUAGCAACUGACGCUCAACGUUCGAUGACUAGCGGCGGGCGGCCGAAGUUUGGAGUCCGAUGUUCAGCAUUCAGUGCCGGAGUCCAGUGACCGGCCACAGGCAGUCGAAGUUCGGAGUUUGGCGACCAACAACCGGCAUCCAACGUUCGACAUCAGGAGUCUGGCGACCAGAGGCUGACAGUAGGUGACUAGUGGCCGAAGUUUGGCAACGAGUGAUCGACAUCCGACGGUUGGUGGCAAGCGACGGACGGUCGGCAACGGACAUUCGAUGAUUGGUGGUGAGCCUCCAGCGUCCAAAAAUUAGCGAUGAGCGGCCAAUGACCCGUGGCCGUUCGGCAUCCGACGACCAGUGGUGGUGACGAGCGGCCAGAGAUAGAUGGCCGACGGUCA
rnacentral:lncRNA from 1 species